GCAGCGGCCCAGGUCAGGGAGGGGAAGAUAUGCCAAGAUAACCCUCCACAGCUCCACGGGGAGGCUGCCCACCUCCAUGGCAGCGGAGACGCCGGCUGGGGAGCGCCGAGCCUGGAGAAAGACAUUUUCCAUGCUGCGAUGAAUCAACACAUGUCGGCUGGAUGUUUGGAGCUGCUACCUACGGACGGCUACAUGUCUGAGACUUCGUCCUCACAGCCUCCAGAGUUCAAAACAGUCCAUGAUGCCUGCAGAUGUGCCACCGAAAUGGAGUUCAGACGGUUGCUUCCAGUUUACGGCAAGAGACCACGAAGAGUAUUACUCCUCCAUAGAAGAGAUCUCCAUCUUCCGCUUACCCAAGGUGGGCACUCACAUCGCAGAGGUCCUGCUGGACCCCCCACACUGAUACCUGAAAUUGCAGAGAGAUCCUUCCAUAGCUGCCACAGAGGUAAAUUAGCAGGAACAACUGGAACAUCUACAAAUUACUUGGGGGGAUUAAAUUCUUGGGCUGCACAGUGGUUAGCACUUUUGCCUUGCAGCAAGUAGACUGGUUCAAAUCCUGGCCUGGGAUCUUUCUGCAUGGAGUUUGCAUGUUCUCCCUGUGCAUGCGUGGGUUUUCUCCCACAGUCCAAAAAUAUGCUGAGGUGAGCUGAUUACUCUAAAUUGCUCGUAGGUGUGAAUGUGAGAGUGAUUGUUUGUCUGUAUAUGUAGCCCUGUGACAGACUGGUGACCUGUCCAGGGUGUCCCCUGCCUUCGCCCGAGUCAGCUGGGAUAGGCUCCAGCAUCCCCUAGUGAGGAUAAAGCGGUGUAUAGAGGAUGGAUGGAUUAAAUUCUUGUCAGAAAAUCACUUUCCCAUGAAAAUUCAGUCCACAUUGUUGCAGUCGAUCUCAAUCAGCAGUGAAUUAUCUGGAGCUUGGAUUUCCGUGCCAAACCUGCUACCACUAUUUAUCCUCCCUACUCCAUUCUGUUAUAUUUCAACAUCUUUGUUUUGGUCAUGAAGUCGUUAAGCCUUGCAACAUCACCUAACAACUCUUAAAGCAGCAUAAAAACCGCAGUGAUGUGGAAAAAAUCUUUUUGUGUGUAACACAGGCAAUGAGAUUAAUGUCAGUGUAAAUGUAUUUUUUUGUUUAAAGAAUAAAACUGGAGAAAAACUAUUGCUGAACAAAAAAAUAAAAAUUUGAAAGUUUAUGAAUAUUAUCUACAGUUAUCUUUUACGGGUAGGUUAUGACAAACCAACGAGCAUGUCCUGGCUUGACACUUCACCAGAGGAAUGCUGUUACAAAUGGGUAGAUUAUAAACUUGGAGGGUCACCCACCCUCAGACAGAUACCCCAGCUCAAAGUGUUGUGUGAGUAGGUGGUGGGGUUCAGUCUUCAACCACCUAUUUGUAAAUCGGAAAACUCCCUGACAUUAUCCAAAUCCCUCAGAGGCCGACUGCAUUAGUCUCGUUUCGGAAGGCUGUUGCUUCCUUGUGUUGUAUAUCAUUCAUCAUCAUGUCAGUCAGCAGUUAAACCCUUGUUUGAAACUGUGCGCAAAGUAAAUCGCACAUGCUUAUGCUAAAGUGACACACUAAUGCUCAGGCAUAACUGUCAGCUUUACACAAAGGCUAAUAAACACAAACCAUUAGGAGGACUAGCUCGUGACACGCUCAUGAUUCAUUCCUGGUUUUCCCAGCUCCUGUUUUCAUCCUCAUUAUCUCGGCUGUUUGUAAUUGGUAUCAGUGUGUGGUGUUUUGUGUGCAGGAGCAUAUAGUGAAUGUUAUCAGGCAGAAUGCCAUCUCAGACGAAACUUCCAUCUACAGUCUUCCCACAGCUUCUCUUCAUUUUUUAUAUGAGUGGACUU